GAUGAACGCUGGCGGCGUGCUUAACACAUGCAAGUCGAACGGAAAGGCCCAAGCUUGCUUGGGUACUCGAGUGGCGAACGGGUGAGUAACACGUGGGUGAUCUGCCCUGCACUUCGGUAUAAGCCUGGGAAACUGGGUCUAAUACCGGAUAGGACCACAUUUUGGAUGGUGUGGUGGAAAGUUUUUCGGUGUGGGAUGAGCUCGCGGCCUAUCAGCUUGUUGGUGGGGUAAUGGCCUACCAAGGCGUCGACGGGUAGCCGGCCUGAGAGGGUGUACGGCCACAUUGGGACUGAGAUACGGCCCAGACUCCUACGGGAGGCAGCAGUGGGGAAUAUUGCACAAUGGGCGCAAGCCUGAUGCAGCGACGCCGCGUGGGGGAUGACGGCCUUCGGGUUGUAAACUCCUUUCGCUAGGGACGAAGCGUUAUGUGACGGUACCUGGAGAAGAAGCACCGGCUAACUACGUG
rnacentral:rRNA from 1 species